rnacentral:rRNA from 1 species
CGCGUAGGUGGUUGCGUAAGAUUGAUGUGAAAUCCCUGGGCUUAACCUAGGAACUGCAUCGAUGACUGCGUAGCUAGAGUACUGUAGAGGGUAGUGGAAUUUCCGGUGUAGCGGUGAAAUGCGUAGAGAUCGGAAGGAACACCAGUGGCGAAGGCGGCUACCUGGACAGAUACUGACACUGAGGCGCGAGAGCGUGGGGAGCAAACAGGAUUAGAUACCCUGGUAGUCCACGCUGUAAACGAUGAAGACUAGAUGUUGGGCAGCUUGACUGUUUAGUAUCGAAGCUAACGCGAUAAGUCUUCCGCCUGGGGAGUACGGCCGCAAGGUUAAA